rnacentral:rRNA from 1 species
ACAUGCAAGUCGAACGGCAGCAUAGGUGCUUGCACCUGAUGGCGAGUGGCGAACGGGUGANUAAUGCAUCGGAACGUGCCCAAUCGUGGGGGAUAACGCAGCGAAAGCUGUGCUAAUACCGCAUACGAUCUACGGAUGAAAGCGGGGGACCUUCGGGCCUCGCGCGAUUGGAGCGGCCGAUGUUAGAUUAGGUAGUUGGUGGGGUAAAGGCUCACCAAGCCGACGAUCUAUAGCUGGUCUGAGAGAACGACCAGCCACACUGGAACUGAGACACGGUCCAGACUCCUACGGGAGGCAGCAGUGGGGAAUUUUGGACAAUGGGCGAAAGCCUGAUCCAGCAAUACCGCGUGCAGGAAGAAGGCCUUCGGGUUGUAAACUGCUUUUGUACGGAACGAAAAGGUCUGCCUUAAUACGGUGGGCUCAUGACGGUACCGUAAGAAUAAGCACCGGCUAACUACGUGCCAGCAGCCGCGGUAAUACGUAGGGUGCGAGCGUUAAUCGGAAUUACUGGGCGUAAAGCGUGCGCAGGCGGCUUUGUAAGACAGACGUGAAAUCCCGGGCUCAACCUGGGAAUUGCGUUUGUGACUUGCAAGGCUAGAGUACGGUAAAAGGGGGGUAGAAUUCCGCGUGUAGCAGUGAAAUGCGUAGAUUUGCGGANGAACACCGAUGCGAAAGGCAGCCCCCUGGGANCUUGUUCUGGACGCUCAUUGCACGAAAGCGUUGGGGAGCAAACCNGGAUU